AUAGAAGAGGGAAAUAGAAAAAUGAAACUGCAAUAACAUCAAUUGGCUGCAUAAAAAGAUUACCUUCAUUUUGAACCAAGGAGGCAUUCUGGCUGUCAUGUGGGAAUGUUGACUACUAUUAGUACAAGCAUACUUGGCAUUAACAAAUGAUGAAAUUAAUGUCAAUAGAUGAAGCCCUAGUGUGUAAGGUAUACCGGAGAGCACAAAAGAGGGAAGUAGAAAAUUGAAACUGCAAUAACAUCAAUGGG
rnacentral:misc_RNA from 1 species